rnacentral:lncRNA from 1 species
UCUGAAACCUGUUUUAUCUUGGGUCUCAGUUCCCUCUAAGCUACGUAUUUUCAUGUUUUAGAGUCAGAAGAUUAAUCUCCUUGACAGAAAAGAUGGAACUGAGGUCAAAAUAGAAGUUGAGUUCUACUAAUGUCACACUGCUGGCACAAAGGGCAGUGCCCUUCCUGCUCUUCUUGCUCUGAACUUUCCUUUCAGCCCGGGCUGGCAAUCGGUUUUCUCCAGCGUCUCAGGAACGUGUCAAACGUGGGCGUCCUGUUGGAAGCACGCUGUUGCAAGUUUGUCAUCUAGUGGUGGAAGGGCACUGAGCUGGAAUCCUGGGUCUGGAGUCAAUGAGAUGUCCAGAACAGGCAGGACUGAACCAGGUACCAGGAGCUUUGCACUCAGAGGAAGAGGCACCUAAAAAAGCGAGGACCAAACCAAACCGUGGUUGACCUAUACAAUGGGACAUGAUUCCGCCUUAAAAAAGGAACACGAGGACAUUGUGCUAAGUGAAAUAAGCCGGUCACAAAAGACAAACACUGUCUGAUUUCACUUAUCCAGGGUGGUCAAAUUCAUAGAAAUGGAAAGUAGAAUGCUGAUUGCCAGGGGCUGGGGGAAGGAGGGAAUGGGGAGUUAUUUAUUGAGUACAGUGUUUCUGCUGGUGGAAAUGAAAAGGUUCUGGAGAUUCAUUACUGAUAUGGUUUGGCUGUGUCCCCACUCAAAUCUCAUCUUGAAUUCCCAUGUGUUGUGGGAGGGACCCAGUAGGAGGUAACUUUCCCAUGCUGUUCUCAUGAUAGUGAAUAAGUCUCACAAGAUCUGAUGGUUUUUAAAAGGGGAAUUUCCCUGCACAAGCUCUCUUUGCCUGCCGCCAUCCAUGUAAGAUGUGCCUUUGCUCCUCCUUGCCUUCCGCCAUGAUUGUGAGGCCUCCCCAGCCAUGUGGAACUGUAAAUCCAUUAAACCUCUUUUUCUUCCCAG